rnacentral:rRNA from 1 species
GACGAACGCUGGCGGCGUGCCUAAUACAUGCAAGUAGAACGCACAGUUUAUACCGUAGCUUGCUACACCAUAGACUGUGAGUUGCGAACGGGUGAGUAACGCGUAGGUAACCUGCCUGGUAGCGGGGGAUAACUAUUGGAAACGAUAGCUAAUACCGCAUAAUAUUAAUUAUUGCAUGAUAAUUAAUUGAAAGGUGCAAUUGCACCACUACCAGAUGGACCUGCGUUGUAUUAGCUAGUAGGUGAGGUAACGGCUCACCUAGGCGACGAUACAUAGCCGACCUGAGCGGGUGAUCGGCCACACUGGGACUGAGACACGGCCCCGACUCCUACGGGAGGCAGCAGUAGGGAAUCUUCGGCAAUGGACGAAAGUCUGACCGAGCAACGCCGCGUGAGUGAAGAAGGUUUUCGGAUCGUAAAGCUCUGUUGUAAGAGAAGAACGGGUGUGAGAGUGGAAAGUUCACACUGUGACGGUAUCUUAACAGAAAGGGACGGCUAACUACGUG